AGUUGUAUCCUGGCUCAGGAUGAACGCUAGCGGUAUGCCUAACACAUGCAAGUCGUACGAGGGUUUCAUACCCAAGUGGCGGACGGGUGAGUAACACGUGAGAAUUUGCCCUAAGGAGGGGGAUAACAACUGGAAACGGUUGCUAAAACCCCAUAUGCUUCCGAGUGAAAUAGAUUUAUCUGCCUUAGGAGAAGCUCGCGGCUGAUUAGCUAGUUGGUAAGGUAAUGGCUUACCAAGGCGACGAUCAGUAUCUGGUUUGAGAGGACGAUCAGACACACUGGAACUGAGACACGGUCCAGACUCCUACGGGAGGCAGCAGUGGGGAAUUUUCCGCAAUGGGCGAAAGCCUGACGGAGCAAUACCGCGUGAAGGAAGACGGCCUAUGGGUUGUAAACUUCUUUUUUCAGGGAGGAACUCAAUGACGUGUACCUGAAGAAUAAGCAUCGGCUAACUCCGUGCCAGCAGCCGCGGUAAGACGGAGGAUGCAAGUGUUAUCCGGAAUCACUGGGCGUAAAGCGUCUGUAGGUGGUUUAAUAAGUCGACUGUUAAAUCUUGAGGCUUAACCUCAAAAUCGCAUUCGAAACUAUUAGACUUGAGUAUAGUAGAGGUAAAGGGAAUUUCCAGUGGAGCGGUGAAAUGCGUAGAUAUUGGAAAGAACACCGAUGGCGAAGGCACUUUACUGGGCUAUUAC
rnacentral:rRNA from 1 species